rfam:Picea glauca, whole genome shotgun sequence.
UCUUAUGUACAUGCCUACAGCGUUAAUGCACUAAAUCCCAUAAGAAUACGCAAUUUAGCGUGCUUGGAAUAGAGUAGUACUCGGAUGGGUGACCUCCCGGGAAGUCCUAGUGUUUUGCAUGCC